rnacentral:rRNA from 1 species
CCUACGGGAGGCAGCAGUGAGGAAUAUUGGUCAAUGGGCGCGAGCCUGAACCAGCCAAGUCGCGUGAAGGAUGACUGCCCUACGGGUUGUAAACUUCUUUUAUAGAGGAGUAAAGUGAGGCACGUGUGCCUUUUUGUAUGUACUUUAUGAAUAAGGAUCGGCUAACUCCGUGCCAGCAGCCGCGGUAAUACGGAGGAUCCGAGCGUUAUUCGGAUUUAUUGGGUUUAAAGGGAGCGUAGAUGGGUUGUUAAGUCAGUUGUGAAAGUUUGCGGCUCAACCGUAGAAUUGCAAUUGAUACUGGCAGCCUUGAGUACAGGGGAGGUAGGCGGAAUUCGUGGUGUAGCGGUGAAAUGCUUAGAUAUCACGAAGAACGCCGAUUGCGAAGGCAGCUUACUAAACUGCCACUGACAUUGAUGCUCGAAAGUGUGGGGAUCAAACAGGAUUAGAUACCCCAGUAGUC